GACGUAGGGCGCGAGCGUUGUCCGGAUUUAUUGGGCGUAAAGAGCUCGUAGGCGGCUUGUCGCGUCGAAUGUGAAAACUCGGGGCUCAACUCCGAGCUUGCAUUCGAUACGGGCAGGCUAGAGUUCGGUAGGGGAGACUGGAAUUCCUGGUGUAGCGGUGAAAUGCGCAGAUAUCAGGAGGAACACCGGUGGCGAAGGCAGGUCUCUGGGCCGAUACUGACGCUGAGGAGCGAAAGCGUGGGGAGCGAACAGG
rnacentral:rRNA from 1 species